AUACGGAGGGUCCGAGCGUUAAUCGGAAUUACUGGGCGUAAAGCGCGCGUAGGUGGUUCAGUCAGUCAGAUGUGAAAGCCCCGGGCUCAACCUGGGAACUGCACCUGAUACUGCUGAGCUAGAGUACGGUAGAGGGCAGUGGAAUUUCCGGUGUAGCGGUGAAAUGCGUAGAGAUCGGAAGGAACACCAGUGGCGAAGGGGACUGCCUGGACUGAUACUGACACUGAGGUGCGAAAGCGUGGGUAGCAAACAGGAUUAGAUACCCUGGUAGUCCACGCCGUAAACGAUGUCAACUAGCCGUUGGGGGACUUGAUCCUUUAGUGGCGAAGCUAACGCGAUAAGUUGACCGCCUGGGGAGUACGGCCGCAAGGUUAAAACUUAAAGGAAUUGACGGGG
rnacentral:rRNA from 1 species